GUCAGACUCGGCCCCCCAAAAUCACCCCAACACCCCCACACCCAAGCUUGCGUUGCUUUGACGGGGUUUUGCGCCGUUUCGGGGUGGGGGAUGAGGUGCGGCCCCCCUGACCCGCCGUGUCCCCCCCUCCGCAGGUCACCCCUUGCAGCCCGGCCACCCCCUGCGCCCAGGGACACUUUUGUGACGAGCACUUCGGGCUGUGCCUGCCCGAGCGGCCCGAGGGUCACUACUGCCGCCAGGACCCGCACUGCGCCCGCGGGCUCGUCUGCAUCUUCGGCAAGUGCCAGCAGCCCGUGCCCCCCGGGCAGGACGGAGCGCGGUGCCAGCGGGACGAGGAGUGCGGGGCCGGCGGCUGCUGCGCUCGGCAGCACGGGGAGCGCGUUUGCCAGCGGCGCCUGGAGCUGGCCCAGAGCUGCCACGUUCCCCCCGGGGGACUCGCCUUCAGCAUCAACCAGGUGUGCCCGUGCCAGGCCGGGCUGGUCUGCCGGCCCUCCGUGCCCGCCAGGGAGAAAGCGUUCGAGUACCGGCCGGAGAAGAGCGAGUGGCGGUGCCGGCAGCCCUGAGCUCCCAGCCUGUAUUUAUUGUCUCUGUAAAUAAAUAUAUUGUCCCGAUAAAGCCGGCCCAGCGCCGCGCUGAGCCCGGCGGCUGCCGCUGGCCAUCCCCGGGCUGGGGGGGCUGGAGCCCCCCGAGCGCCCCUUCCCCAGAGCCGGGCAGGUCCCGGCUCCAUCCUCACCUGAGCAGGGGUCACUGCAGCGCUGUGUCCUCCCAGCCGGACCCCCCCGUGUCCCCCCAGGAGGCUCAGGCGUGGGGCAGGUCUCACCGAAAUGUUUAUUACAAAGAAACCAAGCGAGCGGGGCGAGUCCCCCUCCCCUCCCCACACACACACACACAAACCAACGAGAAUAAAUAAAUAAAAUACAUUUUUGUCGGGUCUUUA
rnacentral:lncRNA from 1 species